UAUCAAGAUAUUUGGGAAAAGCAUAUUCCAGGCAGAGGUCUGAGCAAAUGCAAAGACCUGACCUGAAGGGAGAAUAUCUCUGGGUGUUCAAGGAACAGUAAGGAGGCCAGAUGGUUGAAACCAGCUGAGAAAAAGGUGCAGUAACUUUAAAUUCCUCAAAUCCCCUGAGUGCAAGGCCAUGGCUCAGAAAAGCCUUGCAAACAACAGCAUUAAUCUCCCCUACAAGGACUUGACCUCCGAGGUAACCAGGCGCCGAGUCACCAUGAUCACAAGGUACCCAAAAUCUUUCCUCUGGAUCGCUUGUGGGGUUGGGACGGAGCAUAACACUGAGCCCCAGCAAGUGCCUGAAACUGUAGCUGGCACUGGUUUAUUUAAAUGUAUUUAAUGCUGCUGCAA
rnacentral:lncRNA from 1 species